UGCCCAGUAGCUCCUAUCCCUAUCGUUCUCGCGGUUUUGGCCAGGAUGUGAGCAACCUAAGAGAAGAUCUAAUAACCAACCCCGGUGGAAACUUUGAUCGUAUGCUGAAAGGGAAGG
rnacentral:ribozyme from 1 species